rnacentral:rRNA from 1 species
UACGGGGGGGGUAAGCGUUGUUCGGAAUUACUGGGCGUAAAGGGCUCGUAGGCGGCCAACUAAGUCAUACGUGAAAUCCCUCAGCUUAACUGGGGAACUGCGUGUGAUACUGGAUGGCUUGGAUUUGGGAGAGGGGAUGCGGAAUUCCAGGUGUAGCGGUGAAAAUGCGUAGAUAUCUGGAGGAACACCGGUGGCGAAGGCGGCAUCCUGGACCAAUAUUGACGCUGAGGAGCGAAAAGCUAGGGGAGCAAACGGGG